CAGCACUCUCUGGCCAGUCCCUGAGUUCUAGCCCCCUCCCACUUCCUCCCCCUCUCAUAUGAAUUUAUUGAAGCUGUCAAUCAAUGCAAAUCCGGUGAGCAUAGGCUGUGCAAUCCUCUAGCUCCUCCCUCUCCCACCGGCUCCCUUCCCCCUUCCCAUCCGUGAGCUUCUUUCUUUCCAUUUGUAUCACUCAACCCAAAGCCCUACCAAAGGACGGAGGAAAAGCAGAGGAAAGACAAGAUUCCACGUGCAGCUCUGAGCCGGGGACCCUUCCAGGGAGAUGGGAGCCUUUGAUGUGAAGCCCUGAACAUUCACGUGGGAGGGGAGAGGGCGGAGGGGGAGGGGCAGGGGGGCAAGCCCCAGGCCUGGCAUUUCUGGAACAGGGUCAGGUAGGGCCCAAGGUAGCAGGUGGUGCAUCUUGUAAAGCCAGAGCAGGGAGAAGACAUCCAAAGAUGCGCUCUGAGCAGGACAGGUGAGAGGAGGCAGGCCUCUCGUUGGAGAGGGCGACAGUCACGGGAAGCCAGAGAGAAGGGAGGACCACUCUGCCCUCUUGGCAGAGGGGAGGGAAGCUGCAGGCGGGCAGGGCUAUUGUUACCUUACUGUAUCAGGGGUGGAGGUAGGGAGGAGCCAGAGGUAUGCAGCUGUAACAGGCCCUGUUUUUAAGAACCAGUUUUUCCAGCGAUGGCAAGCAAACGCGGAGAAUGAGUUUUUCAGCAUAUGGCCUAAAGGCACUUAGUAAACCCACAGUGACCCACCUCAGCCCCCCAAAGCAAGGCAAGGCUAGCAGUUUGCACUGGGUGCACUUGCCGGUGUCCACUGCGCACCUGCCAUGGGUCAGGCCCGUCCCCAGGCAUUAGCACAUAGCACCUGCCAGGCUUCUUGGACAGCUGAGCAGAGGCUCAGUGAGGUUAAGUGACUUGCCCACGGCCACACAGCUAGUGAUGGAGCUGGGAUCUGAACUCCAACCUAUCUGGUGUCAAAGCUUAAACCAUCACCGCCACAUCCCGCUCACUGAGCUGAUUGAGAGUUUGUUCAUUCACUCGUUCCUCCCCCUGGGGCAAAGCUCUGUGGCAGGUGCUGUAGGAAAUCCUGCCUUCGGCGAUGAGAUUGAGUGCAGAGAAAAGCAAUGCAAGGUCAAGGGCUGUGCAGACAGGGCCGCUGAGACACAGCCCCAGGGUGCAGAGGAGGGCGGACUUCCAGGGGCACUUUCUGGCCACAUGGGUGUUUGUGGUGGACUGGGGAGAGAGGAGGGGAGGGUGUUCAGAUGGAGGCAUCCUGGGAGAUUUGAAAAGCCCACCAGGGGUCGAGAGUGAGCCUUAGGGACCUGGAGGUGCAGGCUGAGAUGGGCUUCCCUUCUGCCUGUGGGAGGUGGGGGUUGGGCCAGGGCCCCAGGCCCUGUCACGGUCACGGAGCUCCAGAAGGAAGGGUCUGGCCAUGUGGGCAAGGGGCUGGGGUGGGCAGGCCUGGGGUAAGCCUGUGGACAGGGAAGGGUCAGGGAUGUUUUCCAUGAGCUCUGUCCACCCAGCCUGGGCACCGCCAGGACAAACCAGGGUCGGGACAGGACCAGCUCGGGGCACUCAGGGUGGUGUGGCUCGCCGGAAGUGUCUCCCCCAUCUGACCACCUCUUUCCUGCUGCCUCCUCCCAGACCUGCCACCCUUGAGUCUGAACCCCUGCCUGCGCUGUCCCUCUAUGGCCCUUGCUGUCUCACCUGUGGUCACAGACAGCUCAGGGAGGAGGGGUCUUGGGGGCCCUGGGGGGAGGGGGGACAUCCCUGUGUCCUCAGCACUCGGCCUGGCCCCAGACCUCCGGCUGCGUGGAGACACCCAGGCCCGGUCCGUGAGAAUCCUCUGUGGGCCAGGCAACCUUCCUAGUGCUUCUGCUCCUUCCCCCAAGCCCGCCACCAAGGCCCCAUGGAUGCAUCUAUUUUAUAGCUGGGCAAAUGGAGCUACAGAUCCCUUAGUUGCUCAGUCUCUUGCUUGGUGGAUGGCGGGAGGAGAGGAGAGGGCGUAGGGUUGCAUGCAGGGGGCCGCGGCGUCCCUCCUCACAGUGUCCCCUGUCUCUCCCUCUCCAGGAAGGAGUGUCUCGUGAGCUCCUCCGGGAAUGACAAUACGGAGAACGGGCUGCCCGGCUCCAAGGCCGAGGAGAAACCGCCCACAAAAGUGUAGCAGUGUGGCAGGCCGGGCGGCCGCAGGGAGCCGCAGCUUCCAGUGAUGAGACUGAUCCUCGAGCCCCGCCCGUCUGUAGAACCCACGUGCCUGAGACACCUGCUGCUUGCCUCCAACUGUAGACUUUCUAGGCAGGGAGGCGCGGGAUGUGCCUGGCCCGCCCCGCCUGCUUCCCAGCCAGGGCACCCAGGGACAGCGGCCGGCCACGGCAGAGGGGAAGGAGGGGUUGGGCCGGGAUGGACGGGCUGGCCCUCCUCGACACCUGGGGAGAAGGGGUCUCCUUCUGUCUCCCUGGACCUUGGUUUUCUUCCUGAUUUCUCGUCAAGAGGGACUGGGGGGAACAGCGAGGGCGGCCCAGGAGCUGGGCCUGGGGGAGACCCCCACCUGGAGGACUGACCCUUUGGGUAGUGGGAGUGGCCGGUGUGGAGUGGGGGCUGCUGGAGGCAGGGCCGCAGUGAGAGGCCUGCCUUGGCUGUGGGCCAUCCCCGUUCUCCUCAGUCCCUCAAGUGCAAAGUUCCCCCCUCGCCACCCCCCGCUCGAGGGUGCCCGUCUGCCUCAUCCCAGCUCCCUGUCCCACUUCCUGCUCCAGUUUCUAAACCCUGCUGGUUUGGGCCUCUAUCUAACCUGGCCUCUGCCCUCUGCUUACUAGGGAUGUGCAGAGGGGACCGGAGCCCCACAGCAAUGCCCACCCCAGCCCCACUGCUGGCAGCCCUGUCCUUGGCAUGGCAGGACCAUCGCCACCUGGGCGCUCCAGAGCCCCGCUCUCCCCCUCUUCCCCUGCCCCCAGAUGGCAGGUGCUGUCACCUUGCUUGUGGGGUCACACCCUGGAACCUGCCGUCCUGCUGGCUUGCACCACCUAUGCCCCUGUCACUGCUUCUCCCCUGUCCCCAGGGCUGUUCGUCCGCCAGCCCGGGGUCAAGGGCUUGCCUCCAUCUCAGGGACCCUCUUGUUUGGAUGAGGGCCCUUGGCUUUUCCAGAUGCUUCCUGCUCAGCUGGGCCACCCCGUCUCUCCCCCGAGGUGGGGGAGCAGGGAGAGGUUGCCCACACGUGCCCUCUGCACUUUCAGAACCAGUUUGCACACCCCUGUGUAUGGGGCUAGACUGUGCCUUAGCUCCCUGAGUCCAGCUCUUACUCGUCUCUGCCUGCAGCCCGUGUGUCCUGGCAUCACCGCACCCCCCUCCCUAGGAUCACGUGGCGGGGGCGCAAGGUUAGGGUUGUGUUACCUGCAACCCGUUGGCCAGUAACUGAGAUGGAGACAUCUGCCGGGUGCUUCCAGGGUGGUGUUGGAGUGGGGCCACCUGGUGGGUCCCCCUGUGUGAGUCCCUGUGGGGCAGAGAUGGUAGAUGUGAUAACAGGGGUCUCCCCCACGUGCGCCCAUCCCUUGCCCCCGAUUGCAUUCCUGACCCCGUGUCCCCCGGGUCCCUUUUGCAGAGGAUGUAGGGACCCCUCAUGACUCUCUGCCAGGAAGCACUGUACGCUUCCCUGAGGGUGCAGGUGCAGAGAGACGGAGGCACAGCCGCACCUGCGGGGUGCUCACGGCUGUGGUCUGAGCCCCUCACCCUCGCUCACCGGCUCACAGGCUCCCCUGAUGUUCUGCCCCUGCCCCUCCCAUCCUCCUCCACCCAGAACCCAUCCUGGGGAGGGGGAUCGGAUUUUCUCGGAUUUGGGAACAGGCAGACCAGAGCCCUCGACCACUCAGAAGACUUCUAGCUGCCUUCGUGUGAACCUUCCUUCUCCCGUCCAAUGCCGAUGUUUGACGAGGCAGCGGCGCGCACCUGGGCAGCAUCCUCCCUCCCCUCUCCUGGGUCUCCUGCUGGCUUAGAGCUCCCGCUCACCGCCACUCCCCCGUGGAGUCACUUUGUACCAUUGGAGACCUUGACCCUGACGCUUCCAGCUUCUUGUCCGUGGCUGUGUCGGGUGGUUCUCAGCAGAGGUGCCUGGGGCUGUCCGAGGAGAUGCUAAAUGCACUCAGCGAGGGGGCACUGACAGUGUUAAACGCCAGCGUAUGAUGCCCAUGGAGAAACAUGGACGUGGCCUGGCGCCAGGACAUAUGUGGGCAGAGUCGUCUUCCCCAAGUAGGGCCUCCGUGCCUGCACGUCUCUGAUGGAGGUUGUUGCGGGACCGCGUUCACCAAGUUGAUGCACCUGCUGACGGUGAUGUCAAGGACUCAAAGACACUGCUCUGAGUGCCCCAUCCUUAACCUCAAAAUGGGACCCUGGCACUCCAGGCCUCAGUUUCUUCUGGUGUUGGAACUGAGCAGAAGGCAGCCAGCGUGAACUUGUGAUGCUAGAGAGGCCUGGGGGCGGGGCGGGGCGGGGGCGGCCCGUGAGGCUCAGGCUGUUCAGGGAGGGGGUGAGGGGGCGGCGCGUGCAUGCGGAAGCGUGUGCCCAUACAGGCAGUGCAGGUGUGUGGAGUGGGUGGGCGGUGCAUGGUGGGCAAGACUCUGGUCUUCUCAGGAGCCUUCUCUCCCGGCCUGAGCGUGGCUGUUGGGAAUCUGCAAGCUGAGAGCGGACAAGAGGACCAAGAGGAAGACCAGCCGUGCUCCUGACCCCAUCACUCCCGGACUCCAUCUCAUUAUUGCAGACGGCUCUGGUUGGAGGGCUGGCGGGAGGGUGUGCCAGGAGGGAGGGCUGUUCCGGAGAAGCCUGCCGCUUGCUUCAAUUUGCUUUGUGCCAGGUUGGGGUCCCUGCCUGCCCCCCCGCCCCACCCAAAUCCGCAGUGCUUCUGGCUAUCUUAUGCAUGGUGUAUGCCUCGGGCUUGGAUGACAACAACACCCAUAUCAGUUUCCCUCUAUAACUGUAGAUGAGAGGCUGCAGCAGUGGCCUUGGGGACCUCGGGGUGGCCCAGAGGAGCACACACCCAGCACUGACUUGUGUUCACGCACGGCAGGGAGGUGAUCAGACGGUCUUGCCUCUACAACGUGUUUUGCAUUGUAGAAUUGUAUUUCGCUUUGCCUUGGAUGAAAUAAAAAGUUAUGUUUAGUAAUAA